AUUGCUUCUACCAAGAAGUUUGAUGUAGAAGUUAUUUUGUAAGGCAAGUGAAAGUAAAUCAAAUUGGUGUAAUACAUCAAUUAUGAUGUAGAGGGUGAUGUGCUCGAGCAUGCUAAUAUAAGAAUGCCUGAGUCCUCCUUCAAAAGUGUUCAUAUGUUGCAUGCAAUGGAGGUAAUUUGUGUUAUCUGGACUCUGGAGGCAAUGACCACUGCUUAUGGAAUAUCUGAGCAAAUCUUAACUUCUGGACCUACUGAAUUGCAUGUUUUUAAAAUCGCAAAUUGAAAAAGGGGUCUAUCAGAAACCACCUCUCUAUAUCUUCGGAGAUAGUAGUAUGGACUGCGUAUAUUUUACCCUCUCCGGACCCCAAUAGGUGAGUAAUUAUUGGGUAUAUUAUUGUUGUUGUUGAGAAAAUUGACUCUGGAAG